UGGGGAAUCUUGCGCAAUGGGCGAAAGCCUGACGCAGCCAUGCCGCGUGAAUGAUGAAGGUCUUAGGAUUGUAAAAUUCUUUCACCGGGGACGAUAAUGACGGUACUCGGAGAAGAAGCCCCGGCUAACUUCGUGCCAGCAGCCGCGGUAAUACGAAGGGGGCUAGCGUUGCUCGGAAUUACUGGGCGUAAAGGGCGCGUAGGCGGUAAGAUAAGUCAGAUGUGAAAGCCUUGGGCUUAACCUGAGAACUGCAUUUGAUACUGUCUAACUAGAGGACGAGAGAGGAAAGUGGAAUUACGAGUGUAGAGGUGAAAUUCGUAGAUAUUCGUAAGAACACCAGUGGCGAAGGCGACUUUCUGGCUCGUUUCUGACGCUAAGGCGCGAAAGCGUGGGGAGCAAACA
rnacentral:rRNA from 1 species